rnacentral:rRNA from 1 species
GGACGAACGCUGGCGGCGUGCCUAAUACAUGCAAGUCGAACGCUGAAGGAGGAGCUUGCUUCUCCGGAUGAGUUGCGAACGGGUGAGUAACGCGUAGGUAACCUGCCUGGUAGCGGGGGAUAACUAUUGGAAACGAUAGCUAAUACCGCAUAACAGUAGAUGUUGCAUGACAUUUGCUUAAAAGGUGCAAUUGCAUCACUACCAGAUGGACCUGCGUUGUAUUAGCUAGUUGGUGAGGUAACGGCUCACCAAGGCGACGAUACAUAGCCGACCUGAGAGGGUGAUCGGCCACACUGGGACUGAGACACGGCCCAGACUCCUACGGGAGGCAGCAGUAGGGAAUCUUCGGCAAUGGACGGAAGUCUGACCGAGCAACGCCGCGUGAGUGAAGAAGGUUUUCGGAUCGUAAAGCUCUGUUGUAAGAGAAGAACGAGUGUGAGAGUGGAAAGUUCACACUGUGACGGUAUCUUACCAGAAAGGGACGGCUAACUACGUG